GACGAACGCUGGCGGCGUGCUUAACACAUGCAAGUCGAACGGAAAGGCCCUGCUUUUGUGGGGUGCUCGAGUGGCGAACGGGUGAGUAACACGUGAGUAACCUGCCCUUGACUUUGGGAUAACUUCAGGAAACUGGGGCUAAUAUCGGAUAGGAGCUCCUGCUGCAUGGUGGGGGUUGGAAAGUUUCGGCGGUUGGGGAUGGACUCGCGGCUUAUCAGCUUGUUGGUGGGGUAGUGGCUUACCAAGGCUUUGACGGGUAGCCGGCCUGAGAGGGUGACCGGCCACCUUGGGACUGAGAUACGGCCCAGACUCCUACGGGAGGCAGCAGUGGGGAAUAUUGCACAAUGGGCGGAAGCCUGAUGCAGCAACGCCGCGUGCGGGAUGACGGCCUUCGGGUUGUAAACCGCUUUCGCCCGUGACGAGGCGUGAGUGACGGUAAUGGGUAAAGAAGCACCGGCUAACUACGUG
rnacentral:rRNA from 1 species